UAUCAAUUACCCCCAAAAACAUUCAAAUUUUUCCUAGCGACUGACGCGACCGAACAUGAAAACCAGUAGCUCUGACUUUUGGGUUUGGGCCCUUUUCCGGGUUGCUUCAACAUCACGCGGUUUCCAUUUCUUUUCUCGUAAACAGAGAUAAAUACAAGGACCUUUACCUACCAUCUUAUCUACACUCUUCUCGUUCCCUUUAUAAAUCCGUCUUUCUCACGCAGCAAGUCUUCGAUACGUGAGAGAGGGAGAGAGGGGUAGAGUGUUGAUGAUAUUGGAGGCUCUUCGAGAUGUAGAUCGGAACACUCCUUUUUAUGAUCCCUUCUCUUCGUUUGCCCAUUUCAGCUUCCUCCAUCUAUCUCUUGUUUCUCUCAUCUAUGAAAUUUUCAAGCAGUAAGAGAAAGGGAGAGAGUGGUGUUGGGAGUUGGAGGUGUGGGAGAGUUGGGCAAGAAUUAUGACCUUUGUUCAAUCCAAAGGGGCAAUUCUUACCAACCCCUCCCAUACCCUUGAUUUCCAACCGUUGCUCCCCUUCCCUGCCUUGGAUCCAUUCCCUUUUGUUUGCUUCUUUUAAGAUCUGGCUGUGAUUUUCAGAGAACAGCAACUGAGAGCUGCAGCUUUCAUGAUUUGUAGAAGUUUGUCAUAUUUCAAAUGUUUGUUGACAAAUUCAAAACGCCAGGAGCCCUGGACUGGAGAUGAAUUCUGUAGAAAUCUCGUGGAGGAAAACGAAUCACGAAGUGUCCAUUUGUGCCGAGGAAGAGGCCUCUUACAUGUUAUAUUAUUCUGACAUGGUAUUAUCAGAGUUUGUGUCUAGCCUGUUUCGAAAACCAAAUUCUAUCUAAAUUAUAUACACUAAAUUUGGGCUCAA